rfam:Sphaerobolus stellatus SS14 unplaced genomic scaffold SPHSTscaffold_138, whole genome shotgun sequence.
GACCUAUUAGCUCAGUUGGUUGGAGCGUGGUACUAAUAACGCUAAGGUCACAGGUUGAACCCCUGUAUGGACCA